UCAGAGAAAGGGAUUUAUUUCAAUUCAUCGGCCUCAGAUUGGUAGGACUACCCGCUGAACUUAAGCAUAUCAAUAAGCGGAGGAAAAGAAACUAACAAGGAUUCCCCUAGUAACGGCGAGUGAAGAGGGAAGAGCCCAAGAUUGAAAGCUGGCGCCUUCGGCGUCCGCAUUGUAAUCUCAAGAAGUGUUUUCCGCUUCGGACCAUGCCUAAGUCCCUUGGAAAAGGGCAUCAUAGAGGGUGAUAAUCCCGUACAUGGCAUGGAGCGCCCGAAGCUUUGUGAUACGCUUUCUAAGAGUCGAGUUGUUUGGGAAUGCAGCUCAAAAUGGGUGGUAAAUGCCAUCUAAGGCUAAAUAUUGGGGAGAGACCGAUAGCGAACAAGUACAGUGAUGGAAAGAUGAAAAGAACUUUGAAAAGAGAGUUAAACAGUACGUGAAAUUGCCAAAAGGGAAGGGUAGGAGGUCAGAGAUGCGUCGCAGGAUUCAGCCUUGCUUUUGCUUGGUGUUUUUCCUGCGUUGCAGGCCAACGUCGGUUUUGGGCACUGGAGAAGGGUAGGAGGAACGUGGCACCUCUCGGGGUGUGUUAUAGCCUCCUACUGGAUACAGCGACCGAGACCGAGGAACGCAGCGUACUCGUAAGAGCGGGCCUUUUG
rnacentral:rRNA from 1 species